UACAGAGGGUGCAAGCGUUGUUCGGAAUUACUGGGCGUAAAGCGCGCGCAGGCGGGAUGGCAAGUCGGAUGUGAAAGCCCUCGGCUCAACCGAGGAAGUGCAUUCGAAACUGCCGUUCUUGAGUGUCGGAGAGGGUGAUGGAAUUCCCGGUGUAGAGGUGAAAUUCGUAGAUAUCGGGAGGAACACCAGUGGCGAAGGCGAUCACCUGGACGAACACUGACGCUGAGGCGCGAAAGCGUGGGGAGCAAACAGGAUUAGAAACCCCCGUAGUCC
rnacentral:rRNA from 1 species